AAGCGCAUACGGUGGAUGCCUUGGCAGUCAGAGGCGAUGAAAGACGUGGAAGCCUGCGAUAAGGCUCGGGGAGCUGGCAAACAAGCUGUGAUCCGGGCAUCUCUGAAUGGGGAAACCCACCGGUCUUCGGACCGGUACCGUACGGUGAAUACAUAGCCGUACGGGGCGAACUCGGGGAACUGAAACAUCUAAGUACCCGAAGGAAAAGAAAUCAACCGAGAUUCCCUCAGUAGCGGCGAGCGAACGGGGACCAGCCCUUAAGCUGGACAACUGGUAGGAGAAGGCCCUGGAAAGAGCCGCCAUAGUGGGUGAUAGCCCCGUAUCCGAAACCUGAGUCCAGUGAAAUCGAGUAGGACGGGACACGAGACAUCCUGUCUGAACAUGGGGGGACCAUCCUCCAAGGCUAAAUACUCCUGACUGACCGAUAGUGAACCAGUACCGUGAGGGAAAGGCGAAAAGAACCCCUGUGAGGGGAGUGAAAUAGAUCCUGAAACCGUAUGCGUACAAGCAGUCGGAGCGGACUUGUUCCGUGACGGCGUACCUUUUGUAUAAUGGGUCAGCGACUUAUGUUCAGUGGCGAGGUUAACCGUUUAGGGGAGCCGUAGGGAAACCGAGUCUGAAUAGGGCGAUUUAGUCGCUGGGCAUAGACCCGAAACCGGGCGAUCUAUCCAUGAGCAGGUUGAAGGUUGAGUAACAUCAACUGGAGGACCGAACCCACUGUCUUUGAAAAGCCAGGGGAUGACUUGUGGAUCGGAGUGAAAGGCUAAUCAAGCCCGGAGAUAGCUGGUUCUCCCCGAAAGCUAUUUAGGUAGCGCCUCGGACGAAUACCACAGGGGGUAGAGCACUGUUUCGGCUAGGGGGUCAUCCCGACUUACCAACCCGAUGCAAACUCCGAAUACCUGUGAGUACUAUCCGGGAGACACACGGUGGGUGCUAACGUCCAUCGUGAAGAGGGAAACAACCCAGACCGCCAGCUAAGGUCCCCAAAUACCAGUUAAGUGGGAAACGAUGUGGGAAGGCUCAGACAGCUAGGAGGUUGGCUUAGAAGCAGCCAUCCUUUAAAGAAAGCGUAAUAGCUCACUAGUCGAGUCGGCCUGCGCGGAAGAUGUAACGGGGCUCAAACUGGUUACCGAAGCUGCGGCUGUGCACGCAAGUGCACGGGGUAGGGGAGCGUUCUGUAAGCCUGCGAAGGUGUGUCGAGAGGCAUGCUGGAGGUAUCAGAAGUGCGAAUGCUGACAUGAGUAACGACAAUGGGGGUGAAAAACCCCCACGCCGGAAGACCAAGGGUUCCUGCGCAACGCUAAUCGGCGCAGGGUGAGUCGGCCCCUAAGGCGAGACCGAAAGGUGUAGUCGAUGGGAAACGGAUUAAUAUUUCCGUACCUUGGAUAGCUGCGAUGGAGAGACGGAGAAGGCUAGGUGAGCCGGGCGACGGUUGUCCCGGUUUAAGCAUGUAGGCAGUGGGAUUAGGCAAAUCCGGUCCCACAAUGCCGAGACGCGACGACGACUGCCCUUUUAGGGCGGGAAGUCAUUGAUGCCCUGCUUCCAGGAAAAUCUUCUAAGCUUCAGGCUAUUCGAGACCGUACCCCAAACCGACACAGGUGGUCAGGUAGAGAAUACCAAGGCGCUUGAGAGAACUCGGGUAAAGGAACUAGGCAAAAUGGUGCCGUAACUUCGGGAGAAGGCACGCCGGUGGUAUGUGACGCCCUUCGCGGGUUGAGCAGAAGCCGGUCGAAGAUACCAGGCCCCUGCGACUGUUUAUUAAAAACACAGCACUGUGCAAACACGAAAGUGGACGUAUACGGUGUGACGCCUGCCCGGUGCCGGAAGGUUAAUUGAUGGGGUUAGCGCUUGCGCGAAGCUCUUGAUCGAAGCCCCGGUAAACGGCGGCCGUAACAAUAACGGUCCUAAGGUAGCGAAA
rnacentral:rRNA from 1 species